rnacentral:lncRNA from 1 species
ACCAGUCCGGCUAUGUUCAAACUCAGUGCAGUUUCCAACUCACAGGGCCACUGCCUGCUUGGGUGAGCAAAGGAUUUAAUGAAUAAGAACUAUGUAUGGAUGGGUUCUAACAAGAGGGGUUAGCAGGCUGAUUCAAAAAUAACUACACCACAGCAACUCUGGGUAUUUUGGAAUAAUGUAGACAGCUGAAGAGGUUCAUCUCCAAGAGAGAAUAUAUAACCAUCAUGAGCCCAAUACUGGAAAUACUCUAUUUCUUCAAAGAGGAAUAGAGCUGGAUGGUUGUUAAUGAUGGCAUGAUGCUACUGCAGUAGGGGA